CUGCGGGGGCGGGGGCGGGGGCGGGGGCGGAUGGGCGCCAGCCGGGGUGCGCUGCGCCAGCCGGGGUGGACCGCGGCAGGGCCUCGGCCUGGACCAACGCGCAGCGCCCCUGAACCGGCUGAGCGCGGGCCUGGUGAGGGCGAGACGGGACGCAGAGCGGUGGGCCGAGGGGGCAGGGGACCCGGGGGCGAGUCGGAGACCGGCCUCCACGGUUCGUCCUCAUAGACGGGAAGCAGCAGGCGGCCCGUCGGUCCCGAGCUUCCCGGGCAAACAGGACGCGGGAGGCUGUGCACAGGGGACUGGAGCACGUUUUCCUGGAAGGUCCGCCUGGACGAAGGGAGGAAGAGAAACCUAGAAGAGGACUCUGCCCAUUUUUAAAAACACCCAGUAGGAGACAUAAGACCUGGGUGACCUACGGGAUAGUCUGGAAACUCCACAGGACUCGGCCAGCGAGGACCCGGAGGGACUCCGGCGCAGUAGAGAAAACUGCCCGCUGCUGCUCCAGCCCCGGGCGAGUCCUCCGCCCCGCGUGAGCCUGCUGCCACGGACCCGCUGAGAGCUGGUAGAAGGCCUUUUGCCACCCCUCUGUCUCCCAGCCCAGGAUUUGAAUUCGGACAGCAGGAGCCACCAGCUGGAGGGUGCAGCCCACAGCUGGGCAGAAGGACGCGAUAGCACACCUGCUUUAGCUCGUUCCAGCUCAUCCAUGUGGGUCGCCGCCGCUAGACUCCUGCACAUUCUGAGGCACCAAGAGAGGAAAUAACCGCAUAGAUGUCUCCUCCCCACCCGAGAGGGGCUCCCAGCCCCCCUGCUUUGGCCCCAGCCAACCCCCCUCCUGCCCAGCCCCCUCCUUGUCCAAAAGACGUUUUUUCAUGAAUCUGGGGCUGUAACAUAAUAAAAAAAAAAUGAAUGCAACUGUGCCCCUUGAUGACAGGGAUGCGCUGAGACAUGCAUCCCUAGGUGAAUUCGUCACUGUGUAAACAUCAUAGAGAAAAGGCUAAAAAGGGCUAAUUCCAAUGUAACCCUGAUAUUUGGGGGGCUAGCAAUUGGAAUCCAUGCCAGCAAGCUCAGUGUACAUUCCUGAUAAUCUAUAAUUAAGCCACUACCUCCUUCCCAGAAACUGGUCUUGCAGAACCUGUUACAGAGGUCAUAAAACUGUGAACAAUGCACUGCCCCAGAGGGAGGAUUAUUAACGCUGGUGCCAGGCCAGACCAUCAGAUAUGGCCUGGAGACCCCCAACACCUGGGGGCCUUCUUGCAAGGCCCACAAAAAGGACCCGAAGCAUAAUCCAUAUUUGCAGGACAAAGACCACAGGGGGAUAUAAAGAGAAGCCCCCUGCAUGUUUCUUCACUCAGAUUUGGAAAGUUAUUCCCUGAGUCCGCUGGCAUAUUAAACAGUGUCCCUCCUUUUCUUUAAAGCGUCGCUUGGUUUUUCUGUGGUCUUCUGCAACAAUAGAGCAUCUACAUGGCUCUAUGGCUACCACCAGAAUACAUGCAGUUCAUCCUUGCCAAAACUUGGUUAUGAGGGGAAUGGCUGUACUUGGUCUUUGUUCCAGAUCCUGUCACAUAGCUCCUAAAACCCUUGGAAUUUCCAGAGUGAUAAGAGUGUCUUUUGUAUGAUAAAAAAAACCAUUGAAACCUGU